UACGGAAGGGGCAAGCGUUGUUCGGAAUCAUUGGGCGUAAAGGGCGCGUAGGUGGUCCGGUAUGUCUCUCGUGAAAGCCCACGGCUCACCCGUGGGACGUCGGGAGAAACUGCAGGACUUGAGGCUGGGAGGGCUGGUGGAAUUCCCCGUGUAGCGGUGAAAUGCGCAGAUAUCAGGAGGAACACCGAUGGCGAAGGCAGCUCGCUGGGACGGUAUUGACGCUGAGACGCGAAAGCGUGGGGAGCAAACAGG
rnacentral:rRNA from 1 species